GCAGCAGUGAGGAAUAUUGGACAAUGGGUGAGAGCCUGAUCCAGCCAUCCCGCGUGAAGGACGACGGCCCUAUGGGUUGUAAACUUCUUUUGUAUAGGGAUAAACCUACUCUCGUGAGAGUAGCUGAAGGUACUAUACGAAUAAGCACCGGCUAACUCCGUGCCAGCAGCCGCGGUAAUACGGAGGGUGCAAGCGUUAUCCGGAUUUAUUGGGUUUAAAGGGUCCGUAGGCGGAUCUGUAAGUCAGUGGUGAAAUCUCACAGCUUAACUGUGAAACUGCCAUUGAUACUGCAGGUCUUGAGUGUUGUUGAAGUAGCUGGAAUAAGUAGUGUAGCGGUGAAAUGCAUAGAUAUUACUUAGAACACCAAUUGCGAAGGCAGGUUACUAAGCAACAACUGACGCUGAUGGACGAAAGCGUGGGGAGCGAACAGGAUUAGAUACCCUGGUAGUCCACGCCGUAAACGAUGCUAACUCGUUUUUGGGUUUUCGGAUUCAGAGACUAAGCGAAAGUGAUAAGUUAGCCACCUGGGGAGUACGUUCGCAAGAAUGAAACUCAAAGGAAUUGACGGGGGCCCGCACAAGCGGUGGAUUAUGUGGUUUAAUUCGAUGAUACGCGAGGAACCUUACCAAGGCUUAAAUGGGAAAUGACAGGUUUAGAAAUAGACUUUUCUUCGGACAUUUUUCAAGGUGCUGCAUGGUUGUCGUCAGCUCGUGCCGUGAGGUGUUAGGUUAAGUCCUGCAACGAGCGCAACCCCUGUCACUAGUUGCCAUCAUUAAGUUGGGGACUCUAGUGAGACUGCCUACGCAAGUAGAGAGGAAGGUGGGGAUGACGUCAAAUCAUCACGGCCCUUACGCCUUGGGCCACACACGUAAUACAAUGGCCAGUACAGAGGGCAGCUACACGGUGACGUGAUGCAAAUCUCGAAAGCUGGUCUCAGUUCGGAUUGGAGUCUGCAACUCGACUCUAUGAAGCUGGAAUCGCUAGUAAUCG
rnacentral:rRNA from 1 species